AAAAUUCGAGGAUAAUACUAACCAAUUGUCUGAACGCGACCACCAAAAACCUUACACCCCGUUCGUCGAUUGGCCCCGACGAACACGCCAGCCGUCUUAAACAAACGCAAUUCGAUCAUUCUUUUGAUCUUCAAAAACGUCCAACACAAGGACAAAAGCGCGCUACAACAAAAAUCCGAAAUUUUGGUUUAGCACUUCCAGUUGACUCUGAGAAGAUGCUCG
rnacentral:lncRNA from 1 species